GACACCCUGCAGUGUUCGAGGUGCUUUCAAUAACCGCUCUUUGCCUUUGAAAUAUUACGGGAGCUGAACCCGCUGCGGAAGAUGCCAGGCCGUAAACCGGAAGGCAGACGCUGUGGAGGAGGCGCCCACCUUAACUCAAGAAGGUCUUGAGCCAUUGAGCAUACGGCACAGGCGGGGUGUCA
rnacentral:other from 1 species